AAAAAAUCUCUCCUUUCUAGAGACACGCUUAUGCUAAAAGCUUAAGCUCGUAUGAUCUCCAGUUUUUAAUCUGGAAGUGGGAUCCACCAUCCAGAAUUACCUUAAAGUUUUUGUUUUCCUUUUUCUUUUUCUCGAAUCUAAUGGUUUACCGCUGAUGCUCCUAUGAGCUCGAGGUUUCUGUAGCUACACCCUUGUUAUUAGUGUCUUGAUGUUAUCGCAAUAAAGUAUUAUUAUUUGACUAACUGGAAUAGCUAAUGCCAUUAUUCAGGUUUUG
rnacentral:misc_RNA from 1 species